AGCGCAGACGGCGAAGCAAGUCUGAAGUGAAAUGCAUGGGCUCAACCCAUGAAUUGCUUUGGAAACUAUUUAUCUUGAGUAUGGUAGGGGUAAAGGGAAUUUCCAGUGGAGCGGUGAAAUGCGUAGAUAUUGGAAAGAACACCAACAGCGAAGGCACUUUACUGGGCCAGUACUGACACUCAGAGACGAAAGCUAGGGGAGCAAACA
rnacentral:rRNA from 1 species